GAUGAACGCUGGCGGCGUGCCUAAUACAUGCAAGUCGAGCGAACAGAUGAGGAGCUUGCUCCUCUGACGUUAGCGGCGGACGGGUGAGUAACACGUGGAUAACCUACCUAUAAGACUGGGAUAACUUCGGGAAACCGGAGCUAAUACCGGAUAAUAUAUUGAACCGCAUGGUUCAAUAGUGAAAGACGGCUUUGCUGUCACUUAUAGAUGGAUCCGCGCCGCAUUAGCUAGUUGGUAAGGUAACGGCUUACCAAGGCAACGAUGCGUAGCCGACCUGAGAGGGUGAUCGGCCACACUGGAACUGGGACACGGUCCAGACUCCUACGGGAGGCAGCAGUAGGGAAUCUUCCGCAAUGGGCGAAAGCCUGACGGAGCAACGCCGCGUGAGUGAUGAAGGUCUUCGGAUCGUAAAACUCUGUUAUUAGGGAAGAACAAAUGUGUAAGUAACUAUGCACGUCUUGACGGUACCUAAUCAGAAAGCCACGGCUAACUACGUG
rnacentral:rRNA from 1 species